rnacentral:rRNA from 1 species
GACGAACGCUGGCGGCGUGCUUAACACAUGCAAGUCGAACGGAAAGGCCCUGCUUUUGUGGGGUGCUCGAGUGGCGAACGGGUGAGUAACACGUGAGUAACCUGCCCUUGACUUUGGGAUAACUUCAGGAAACUGGGGCUAAUACCGGAUAGGAGCUCCUGCUGCAUGGUGGGGGUUGGAAAGUUUCGGCGGUUGGGGAUGGACUCGCGGCUUAUCAGCUUGUUGGUGGGGUAGUGGCUUACCAAGGCUUUGACGGGUAGCCGGCCUGAGAGGGUGACCGGCCACAUUGGGACUGAGAUACGGCACAGCCUCCUACGGGAGGCAGCAGUGGGGAAUAUUGCACAAUGGGCGGAAGCCUGAUGCAGCAACGCCGCGUGCGGGAUGACGGCCUUCGGGUUGUAAACCGCUUUCGCCUGUGACGAAGCGUGAGUGACGGUAAUGGGUAAAGAAGCACCGGCUAACUACGUG